rnacentral:misc_RNA from 1 species
AAUUAUUUCAACUUUUUUUUGAAGUAAUUAUUUAGGGUUUGGAAUUGAAUGCUUUGAUGUUUGUAGGUAAAGAGGAUUUGAAAGGUGAUGUGUUUUUAGCUAAAAAUAGAAAUUGUGAAUCUUGUAUUUAACCCUUUUAUGAGGUUCAGUUCUAUUCUUCCAUUUUUACUAUCCUUUUCAUUGCUAGUAAAUCUGUUGUAGAUUGGA